rnacentral:lncRNA from 1 species
GGGGAAAAAAGAGUCACAAAAAGUGUUAAAAGUUAUCUAGUAGCAAUUCAAAACAGUGUUGAACGUCUGUCAAAACACAGAUAGGUUUUUUAAAAAGCUAUAGGACAUUUCGUUGAUAAAAUGCAAGUGCAUUUGGAGUUUAAGCUGAGGUCAAAUCUUCAAAGAGUAAGGAUGCUAAUCUCUAUAAACACUAAAGCUUGCUGUGUUGUCAUUCUCAGGGAGAUAGUGUGUCUCUGUGUGUCUGGUGUCUCUAUGUUUGUGUAUGUUAGACAGCACAACAGAAAUCUUCCAAUGGCUGCGACUGUGAAAGCUGUGAACUGACCUGAGAUGAGCUCAUAAGUGGAGAGGAGCUGAGCCAUAUGGUGGGUCGCACUCAAACAAGAUAUUAUGGAAAAACACGCCAUUCAGGAUUGAGAGCACCCGAGGGAAAAGAGCUGGCUGUGCCCCAACUAAGGGAUGUGAAUGUGCACAACAGAACACACACACACACAUCUGCACACACUGUAUGGAGGUUAUGUUAAGUGCAACACAAAACUGUUAUCAGAAUUAUAAGUGGAGAUUGUAAUGCCGGCAAAAUGACAUAUAAUUACCGUCAUGUGGGGUUUAUUACUUAGUUCCAAAUGCAGAGCAAUUCAAGCUGUACAAAGUCAGUCUUUAUCUGAAAAGAUCCCAAAGAAGUUACUACUACACUAUGGAAAUGUUUGAUGAUUUUUAUAACAAAAAAUGGCACCAAACACAAUCCACAGAUUUACCAAAGCUGUACAUAUUUUAUCAUGUUGGGAUUGAUUCUGGUUUGUCUGUUUGUCGUUCUUGGGUAUUGGUGGUAAUCCUCAUUCAAAGCCACAAGAAUAAAAUAACACCAGACUAACUCCUAUCAUCUCCUUGUAAAAGCUGUUGCUUUGUCCCCUUUGACUCCUCUGACACACAGAAAGUUCUUUGGGAAACAAAAUCUGCCAGAAAAAAUGUGACUUUGUGAAGACACUGAUUUACAGCCCAAUCCCUCUACUUGUUUACUGUGGCUCCUUAGAUGUAUUUUAAGAAUGUAGACCCAUAACCGUAUUUUAGCAGUUUGUCAGAAACUAUUUAUGUGACUUUCUUCUUGUCUUACCAUGUAAAGGGUUAGUGCACUACAACUGGUAUCAUUGCACAGAUUAAGUACAAUAAAAAGUAUGCCAACUAAUAGAAAGGAUGAAAAGCAGGCUGAAAAAGGGUGGAGCAAAUUAAAAAGAUGAAUAAAGAAUUUGAUAACACGCACAGUCAAGGAAGACUGCUGCUUUCACAUAAGCACGAAACUCCCAAAAACGUCCUGAAAUUUCUUAAAAGGGGUGGUAUGUGUGAACACAAACUUUACCUUGACUACAAGCCCUUCAGUAAACUAAAAAGUGGAAGAUCUGACAUUGGAAGGCUGCAGGAAGUACUUGAGGAAAUUCACCAUGAGUGAUCACACGGAUGAUAACAAGUGACGACCUAAAAGAGAAUAUAUAAAAUCAUAUGUGUAUUAUAUAUUCACAUGCCUACAUAUUUGCAGUUUAGCACCUGGCUUUUCUACUUUCACUGAAACACCAUGUGGGACAUUCGGUGGUCGAUAUGGAGAAAGAAAAAGGACCUGGAUGCCGUUAGGCUGUUAACACAUUUCUGUUGAUUUAAAAAAAAAGGAGCAAAAACAUAGAUGAACGUCAGUUUCUGCCCAACACUGCUUGCUACUUAUUGAUGAAAACACCGAAACAACAAUGUAACAAAUGUCUUUUCUGCAAUCUAUCACAGGAUAUUUAACCUAAUGCAUUUCAGCAACAAAUACGGUACACCAAACAAUGAAAUAAUCAGAUAACUUUAUAGCCCAACUCCUCAGGAAACACAGUUUUACAGGAUUAUUUUGAUAAGGUUUGUUUCUACUAAAAAAAGCAUUGAGGGAGAUCGGGAAGGCUUUGGAAAAAGGCUUUUAGGUGGUUCAGGCACCUGACUGAGAUGCAUGUUGGGCGCCCUCCAUUAGACUGUAACUGGGAGCAGACCUUGUCGUAAGGUUUCCACAUUCUACCUUGCAUAGAAAUGCAAUGGGGCCCAGAAACCAUAACUGGGCCGAGGGUAUGUCUGGGGUACAAUUAUGAACCAACCCUGGGUAAGAAGUAGCCCUGGAGGAUGUAGUCUCAAGCCACAGUCCCAUUUGACUUUCCAGUUUUCUGAUAUAGAUUUUAAUUUGACCGGCUUAAUGUGAACUUUCUUUCUGAUUAUAUGGAGAACUUUUUUUUUACUAAAACACUCCAAUAACAGCCAACUUUUACAAUAUCUGUAAACUAGAGAAUUCUCAGCAAAUAAAAUAUAGGAACAGCUUUGCAUACUCCACCCGAGAGCCCUGCUACCAAUAAUGCUGCGGUUUCUGUGGCAACACUCCAUGUUAUCAAUAAGUCCUUGGGAGAUUAUUCGGCAGACUAAAUAGUCUAGUUUUGUUUAAAACACACUUGUACUCCUUUAGCUUUUUUCCCUUUCAUUUGAUAUGUCUGGUUGCCUCAUUGCCAGGAGGAUGAUCAGACUACAUCUUUAUAUUCAUCUACUCUACUCCUGCCCUCUGUAACAGCAUGCAACACUUCAGUAAGUCUCACACAUGACACGUUUGCUGCUCUGGAAACAGUUCAUUUUAAGACAAAUAUUUGCGGGCACAUACUGACCAAAACACAGCACUAGAAAGCAGGAAAACACAAAAAGGCAUAGUUAUGGGUGUUGUGAGUUUUGUUGAAACCAGACUAAUCAUGGACAGGACAAGUGUUGAAGAGACUCGAUGAAACCAUGCAUGUCUUGCUUGUACCCUGUUGAAGACUCCUCGCCCCAUCUGUUUGCAACCUUUAGACAGUUUGUUUUUUACACAAGACAUUCUCAAGAGCUCUAUGUGCUAUUCUAGCAUUAUCAAACCCCUGCCAAUCAUCAAAUCCUAAAACUUUUAGCAAAACUCCUCUUCCUCUGUUGUACAUCAAGACAAUGCAAUCCAGGGACAGUUCAGUCGGCAUGUUGCAGGCCUGUGUUUGCAAAUAUUACUCAAACCACAAGAAGGGGUUUAGAUUACCACCAUCUCAAAAACCUAUUUGUGACAGAUUGUUUGACACACAAAAAUAGCCAGGAAACUUUUCAAAGCAUAAAGAAAGCCCCCAAAUCCC